CGGCUGUCGGCGCAGUUCGGUGUCUUCGGGUGUCUGAGCUGGGAGCGUUUGGUCCCUCGCGGGGAGGUGUUCCGUAAUGGCUCGGCCUCCGGAAAGAGCUUCAGUGUACUUUUCACCUUGACAGUUGGGCCGCCACCGGGAUCUGCAGCCAUUUAAACACGCUUUCCCGCACCUGUGCACGUAAAUUAUGAAAGUUGAUCCUUCUGAUGUCCCACGCACCCCAAAAAGUUCUCCCGGGAUGGCCUUCCGGACUGCUGCUGGAUGCAGUGAUGUCCCUGGCGCCGCUCAGUCUAGCAGCUGCGCAGGCUGUCUUAGCCAAUAAAGCUGGUGUUAGAACUGCAAAAGCCACGGGGGGGGGGGGGGGCGGCUAUCUUGCGUUUCCUGUGGUUGCACCAAACUGUAUAUUAGUAGAGGUAAUGGCAUUAACAUGCUUUUCGUCUGCACACCCUAUGUAUGAUACAAGCCUCUUAUGAAGCAGUCCGGGAUUCAGACCCAGGUGAAACUCCUUGUCACCGUUAACAUUAGACAUUGGCAUUAAUUUGCUCAGCUGCAUGGCUUCAUUAAAUUGGGCAAGUGUUUUACUUUAAAUAUUUGUGAACACAAUCUUGUACAUUAGCAUUCCUAGAUUUAAAUUUGCAACCAUCUUUUCUGAUACCUGUAUGCAUUGGGAAUAUAAAAGGCUCUCUAUACAUUUUUGCUGAACGAUUUUUGUGGCUUUCAAGAUGAUUUUCUUUCAGGCCACAUUUUUUUUUUUUUUUUAAUAAAUCGCUGGCUGCUAGUCAAACGAAAGUUACACCAAAUAUCAUGAGUUUACGGAUAUUUAAUUUUGUGAGGAGUAAUGAACAUUUUAACCCUAACCCUAACCCUAACCUGCAAAGUGUCCAUGCAGUAGUCAAAUGUAGCUAGUCAUGUGUAUCAUCAAACUGCUACUGGCUAAGGCAUUUCCCUUCCAUGAGCCUAAAAGCAAGGAUAUCACCCUGGAGAUAAGCAUUGUGAUAAUGUGCAGGCCAAGUCCCCACUCUUGGUGUAGAACCCCUUAGUCAUUGCUCAAGAGGAGUGACGUGAAUGUGAGUACCUUUAAUUUCAUGUCUUUUGUCUCUUGUGACUAUACUUAAAAUGAAUUAUCUACAUUAGAAAGGUGUUUAAAACUGAUGGGGCCAUCCUCUUAUCUAAAAGUAGUAGUUUUAUGUGGAAUUCUCACUUUAAGAAACCUAAUUUUAGGUUUCUUACAACCCUAAACAACAAAACAGAAGGAAAUCAUUUAUUCCUCAAAUUGGGUAGUUGUCUAAUUUUAUACUUUUAUUUAUUUAAAGGAAUCAGUUUAUCUUAGCUCUAUUGCACACAUGGUGACUAAGGUUAAUAGUAUUGUAUUCUUGAAAAACUUAAAAUGCUUGAAUGCAUGUAAAUUAUUCUUAUCACAAUAUGUUAAUUAUGUAUGGCAACUCACUUUUCAAUAACCUAGAUUUAGUCGUUCCACGGUGUAUGUGUAUGUUAGGUUAUAUUCUGUAAAUACAUACAAUUUUAUGUCAGUGUAAAAAAGCUACACUUUUUAAAAAGAUUCUAUUUUUUUUUAAAUACAGGAACUAUAUGUAGGCAUAUUAGCAUUAGCGAUGCCUGAACAGUUUUUAUCAGAGUAAGAAAAUUUAAAUUCUUAAAGAUGAACACAUGAACUCAUUGUCUGAAGGGAUUGUGAUAUUUGCAGUAUUUAAUUAAGAACAAUAUGGGUGUUAAUUUUAACUAAAAAAAGUAAACUAUUAUUUGAUAAGGAACACUUUCCUAAGCAUGUACAAGGCUAUAAUCAUAAUUCUCUGAAACUGUUAUCAGUAGACAGAGCCUCUCUGUUCCUUUCUUAUCAGCCCCUUCAAGUUCUAAACGUCCUAUGUGCAAACACUGAAAUUUGAGGGAAGUUUGUAUUUGCUUUUAUUUGUUUGCUUGUCAGGAGUGGUUGACUUUAAGAGUUAGUCUACAUUUAUUGGACUUUUGUUAGCUUUUGGUGUGUGUUGUGGGUGGUUAACUUCUAAUCUAGUACUAAGUUUUGAUAUAAGAUACACAAAAGUCUAAAAGAGUUGAUUCUUGAUCUAUGUGCAGGUAAAUGCUCUAAUACAAACCUCUAUUUUUCUUGACUUUGCAACAAAGGCAUAAAGUAGUAUUCAACUUAAAUACUACAAAGAAUAAUUUUAAAUAUAAGAAUUAACAUUUUUGAGGCUUUUAAGAGUAUGUUUUUAUUCUUGCUUUUUUCUUUUGUUUAUCCUGUAAAUGUAUUCAUAGGGGCUGGUGAGAUGGUUCAGCAGUUAAGAGCACUUGCAGCUCUUCCAGAGGACAUAGACUUGAUUCCCAGCACCCGCAUGUCAAAUUUUAAACUGUAACUCCAGUUCUAGGGGAUCUAAUGCCCUCUUCCAGCCUUCUGUGGCACCUAACCACCUGACAUGCACACGGUGUACAGACAUACAUGUAGGCAAAAUAUCAAGACUAAUAAAAUAGUAAUGAAAAUAUUUUAAGAGCAUGUAUUCAUGAAUAACAUUUGGUUUUAUGUGCUUUUGCACAUGAUUAAAAACUGAAAGCUUUUCACAUUUUAAAAUGAGUCUAUUUCUACAGCUAUACAACAUUCCAUUGGAUGGAUAUACAAAUUAUUCAUCUUGCUACUAAUGGUCUGUGUUGUUUCCUGUCCUUUGUUGGUGUAGUCAUUCUUCCAACAGUCCUCAGUGGCGUAUAAGGUCGAGACUGUUCUGCUUUCCUGGGGGAUGCCAUGCUGCAUCAGCAUUAGCUUAUGUCAUCACAAGGGGUCAUGCCACAUUCUUGCCAGUCUUCUAUCAUCUUUUGCUGCUCUAUUCUAGCAAAAAAUAUUCUAGUUUGGGGCUUGCUUUUCAUUUUCUUUCAUUUUCCUGAUGAGAUGAACAUAUUCACAUGUGACCAUUGGCCAGGAGGAGUUCUUCAUCUGUGAACUCUUUGGUCAUGUCUUCUCUAUGUUUUCUCUUUGCUUUUUUUUGGCAUUUCUUACUGUGUCCAUAGGAGUUCUUCAUAUAUUCUGCAUCUUAUUUUUGUGGGGGUGUAUGUGUGACAAAUUUAAUAAGAUUUCUUUACUUUUACUUCAGCCUAGUUCCCUUUUCUUUACUUGCUUGUUUCUUUGUUUUCUUAUCAUUUUGGUUUUGUGUUCUUUCCAUGGAAUCUGAUAAGGCUGUAGAUCCAGCUUUGAAGGUAAUGUUCCCAUUAGGAAUUUGUAUAUUUGACCAAAUCAAGCAAAACCAGGUGACUAGAGAAAUAGGAAGUUCCAGCUUCCUCUCAGACACAAAUAAUCACCACCACCUACCACCACCACCCCCAAUGAUAGUAAUAUCCCCUUUACCCUUUUCUUUUAAGACAGAUUCUCACUAUAUAUUCCCUGACUGGUCUGAGACUCACUAUAUAGAGUUCAGUCUAGCCUUGAACUCAGAGAUCUGCCCGUCACAGCCUCAGAGUGCUGGGAUUAAAAAUGUAUGCUACCACAACUGGCCCCUCACUUUUUUUUAUUAAAAUUAUUUUUGCUAUUCUAUUGUGGAAUAGUUUUUUAAAAUACCAUAUAUCUUAGUUUUCAUUUAACAAUUGUCUUAGUUUGGGUUUUAAUGCUGUUCAGAGACACUGUGACCACAGCAACUCUUACAAAAGAAAAUAUUUAAUUGGGGCUAGCUUACAUGUAGUUCAGAAGUUUAGUCCAUUAUCAUGGUGGGAAACAUGGCAGCAUGCAAUGCUUGAAAAGGAGCUGAGACUUCUAUAUCUUCAUCUACAAGCAACAAGAAGGGACUCCCACCUUAGGCCGAGCCUGACCAUGUGUGAGACCUCAAAGCCCACCUCCACAGUAACACACUUCCUCUGACAAGGACACACCUCCUAUUAGUACCACUCCCUUAUGGGCCAAGCAUUUAAACACAUGAUUCUAUGGGUACCAUUCCUAUUCAAACCAUCACAACAGUUAAAUGCUAAGUUAAGCCUUCCACCCCAAUCCACAUGGUAGGGAUAGAACUUGUGGCGUAUGCUAGUCAUCCCAUUCUUUACCACCGAGCUGCAUCCCAGCCCAACUAGGUUGAACAAGGGUUGACUGAAUUUCAGAGUACUUCCUAAACUUAGUUUGUGUAAAGUUUAUACACUGAAUGAAAGAAAGCUCUUGCUUCUCUGAACCACAUCAGGACACAUUUCUUCUUCCAUUCAUGCAUGUUUUAGAGCCCAGGCUUAUGAUGCUAUCCUAUCUUGUACCUGGUUU
ensembl:lncRNA